rnacentral:tRNA from 1 species
AAAGGGAGACCUAAUUCAGGUAAAAGACGAAAAAAAAGUAGUCGCUACCAAGAAUCAAUCCCAAAAGGUCGGAGCGAGGCGAAAUUGGCUUUCAAACUAGGUUCUGGGUUCAAACAAGACCUGAAUCAGGAACAAGGGCUAUUAGCUCAGGUGGUUAGAGCGCACCCCUGAUAAGGGUGAGGUCCCUGGUUCGAGUCCAGGAUGGCCCACCUGCACAGGUGGCAAAAACAAGAGAAGCGAGGAAUCAGCACCUUAUCUUACUUAUAUAGUAAGAGAGAAUGCUGGCUCUGAGUAAAGAGUCCAGAGGAACCUUGAAAACUGCAUAGCGCUAGGUGAAAAAGCCAAAAAAGAAGACCGCAAG